CAGUAGCCGCGGUAAAACGGAGGGGGCUAGCGUUGUUCGGAUUUACUGGGCGUAAAGCGCACGUAGGCGGAUUCUUAAGUCAGGGGUGAAAUCCCGAGGCUCAACCUCGGAACUGCCUUUGAUACUGGGGAUCCUGAGUUCGGGAGAGGUGAGUGGAACUGCGAGUGUAGAGGUGAAAUUCGUAGAUAUUCGGAAGAACACCAGUGGCGAAGGCGGCUCACUGGACGACUGUUGACGCUGAGGUGCGAAAGCGUGGGGAGCAAACAGGAUUAGAUACCCCCGUAGUCCCUGUCUCUUAUAC
rnacentral:rRNA from 1 species